rnacentral:rRNA from 1 species
CUACUCUUGACAUCCAGAGAACUUUCCAGAGAUGGAUUGGUGCCUUCGGGAACUCUGAGACAGGUGCUGCAUGGCUGUCGUCAGCUCGUGUUGUGAAAUGUUGGGUUAAGUCCCGCAACGAGCGCAACCCUUAUCCUUGUUUGCCAGCGAGUAAUGUCGGGAACUCCAGGGAGACUGCCGGUGAUAAACCGGAGGAAGGUGGGGACGACGUCAAGUCAUCAUGGCCCUUACGAGUAGGGCUACACACGUGCUACAAUGGCGCAUACAGAGGGCGGCCAACUUGCGAAAGUGAGCGAAUCCCAAAAAGUGCGUCGUAGUCCGGAUUGGAGUCUGCAACUCGACUCCAUGAAGUCGGAAUCGCUAGUAAUCGUGGAUCAGAAUGCCACGGUGAAUACGUUCCC